rnacentral:rRNA from 1 species
GGUGAACGCUGGCGGCAUGCCUAAUACAUGCAAGUCGAACGAGGAGGAAGGAAAGCUUGCUUUCCUGAAUCUAGUGGCGAACGGGUGAGUAACACGUAGGUAACCUGCCCAUGUGCCCCGGGAUAACUUCUGGGAAACGGAUGACUAAAACCGGAUAGGUAGCAGAACAAGGCAUUUGACUGCUAUUAAAGUGGCCUUGGCCAUGAACAUGGGAUGGACCUGCGGUGCAUUAGCUGGUUGGUGAGGUAACGGCCCACCAAGGCGACGGAUGCAUAGCCCGGCCUGAGAGGGCGGACGGGCCAC